AUGCCAAAAGAACAUUUGUAAUUACUUAUGAACUUUUUCUACUUAUUUCUUUAGACCAAAUCCCCUGUACACAUAUAGUGACUCAGAGGAUGAGCAGCCCACAAAAAAACGGUUUCCCCAGGCACCUCGAGUGAAAAUACCAGGUAAUAAAAUAAUGUCUAGUGUCUGUGUACAUAUCUGUGUGUGACACAUGGAAACUUUUUGGACAAGUUGUCUGUAUUCUUAAAUACUUUAAAAAAUUUAUCUUUUUCUAAACAGCCCUCACCACUCCGCAGUCUUCCCCCCAGCCCACUGACAGCAGGCAUCAUAAUGCCCCUCCCAGCUUUCGGCACCUUUCGCCACUCCGGCAGAACACUCCAAACGACACAGCUUUGCAAUCUCCCCAGCAUGCAGAGUCUGAUGUCGAGGCCUUCCCUAUAGAUGACCUGACGAGAUCUCUUAACGAACUCCGUGAGGAGGUCAGAGCCAUCCGCAAUACCAGCUCCAAUGAAUCGGUAGAUGCUGGGCUACUCCCUUUGGAUUUGCCCUUGCACAACAUUGAGGAGCUAAACAAUGCAGAGGCAGCUCUUCAAUCACAAGAGGCAAAUAAGGCAAUGGUGAGACGCUUUGCCUUGAUUGGAGGGACCACACUGGAGGUGCGAGUCCGCCGUGUAAUGGCUUAUGCCAUCACAAACGAGCUGGCCUCAGUACUAAACUGGGCAGGGAAAAAACAAAGGACCAGACGAAGCAAAAAAGGGCAUUUAAAGAGACAGCGCUGUGCAGAUGCAUAUUUGGUAAGUUUUACAGUUUAUUGUAGUUUUAUGAGCCUAAAGUGAACAAUGAAGGGAUCGAUUGAUCUGCUGGGUGUGUUUCACAUGUCCUAUGUCCAGUUUUUGCUAUAUUACUUUGUCUUUUUUAAUAACAAGACUUUCAUGUCUGGUUAAUCUGGAGAUGGAGUCUUUGGUCUUUGGCUUGUUUAGUCCUCGGGUUGUAGUUUGUACAGCCCGACGAUCCCAUGUUUAUUUUGUUUUAAAGGAUGCACGGCACACCAUGCUAAGACUUAUCACUUUUUCCACUCAUAGCUCUUUGGGAAUCAAAUGCGGCAGUUUGCAGAUUUACGCCUGGUGACUUUCAUGUUUAUCAGCCUAGGAGUUUACAUACUUUCUCCCUGCUGAAGACAGAUAACAAGAGCUUAUUCAUGUGCUCUAAUUCACUUUUUUUGUUUGUGUGUGUGUGUAUUUUUGUCCUAGAUGGCCUGACGCAGCAGUUAGGGGCAAACUCUAUGUCAGAGUUUGUCUUUGCACAGGCAGUGCAGAAAUGGCUCCGAUAUGCCCCAGACCGUUUGGGUGGCGCAGGACGCACAUCAUCCGUCCCCAUCCCGGAGUAAAAACUACAAAGUUAUGUUAAAAUAUAAAUGUAAAUAGAAAACUGUCUUUUAAUAAAGUAUUUGGCAAACGAAACAUGUCUAUUGACCAUUUUUUGUUUAGUUUUCUUUUUCUCUGUUACAUCACAUGCAAUGCUUUCUUAUUUUAUGAUAUUAAUAUUGACAUGAUACAUUGUGAGACAUUUGAUUUUUAUAAAGGGUGUCCAGUUUGAGGAAUAAGUGCAAUUAUGUGUUUAGGUGGUUUAAGUAUUGAUGGAAACAUGCAGUAGUUUAGUAUUGGUUAAAAUACCUAUAAAGAAAGGUAGAUUUCCAGUCAUGAUUUAACUGUUGUUUUAAUAAAAAAACAACUGCGAAAGAGGUGGAAAAUCAACACCAUAGCUCAACAGCGUUUCAAUAUCAGAAUCUGACAUUGUUUCAAUGUCAACAGUGUUAGAAAAUAUAACGUCGAAUCAAUGUCAGGUUUCAACAUUGAUUCAACAUCAAAACCUGACGUUGUUUCAACGUUAAAAAUGGGUGCAAGAGUGACGUUGGGAGGCUAAUUGUGUUUGUUUUUGCCUGUUCCCAGGAGCGAACGAGAUGGAGAGACGGAAGGAGCGACUUUGCUGAUUUUUGGGAGUUUUAUGGACACCAAUGCUCUAGCACGUAUCACGAGGGGAGAACGAGAGAGGAUCACUGAAAGGACUUGCACUGUGGAUAACUGUGGACUGGUUUUGCUUCACUGUAAAUAAAGACACUGUUCAACUUUAAUGAGAGGUCCGCGUCUGGGUUUGCUAUCUCACCAUCUUUAACACAUUAGAAGAAUGGUACGUAAGAAAAACAGGAUCACCGUAAUCCACGUAGUUCCUCACGCAUGUAAGUAAUUGAGAGUGAAUGACUCCAGGUGAGCAUUGCCACCGACAAUAAAAAUAAGGUGUAAAAGAUCUCCAUCUCAGCAAAAACCACAAAAGAAAUGAAUCAAGGAAACCGUUCACUUAAAAGUUAACACGGUUAAGAACAGAGUUAAAAACAAAAGAAAAAAAGCAAAACACCAAUAAACACCUGCUGCAGGUCGCCACAAGAGCAGCGCCCCUCACAACACAGAUUCAUGACACACAAAUGCCAGUUCAUCUCUCACUGGUGACACCUCUAAAAUGUUUUUAAUCUUUAAAGUUUUGCCUAAAAUUCUUCUGUCUUUCUUUGUAUUGGCAGUAUUUAGGAAAUGAUACUGGUAUAUGUGGAUUCUAAAUAUCACAUUUCACAAUAAGAAUGGACCAAUCCGAUAUACAUUAUUGUUAUUGGUCUGAUCCUGACCUAAAUUAUCGAUUCCGAUAUCGGGGAGAAAAAAAAUAUAAUCUGAUCCAUUAAAUAUCACACAAGCACCUCACAAAACCUGCAACAUGGUGUAACCCAGGUAGUGACCUUAGCACAUCUGAGCAGUAUGUGUCACGUGAUAGAGAGGCUGUUGUGUGCAAGACCUGUCGGCAGUCUGGAGUUACUCUACACUGAAAAAAUUUGGAGCCUUGCUACGUGUUGCCAAACCAGGUGUCGUGCCAAGGUAGGCAUCCCUGACAAAACCCGCUCCCCCUGCGCCGCAAGCAACCAUGGAGUGCAGAUCUAGUGUACUCAGCCUCCAUUAGAGACAAUUACAUGUGGAAGUACUGUUUUAGUUUUGUGAUAAAGUGAAAAAUGAGUAUCGUUACAUUACCAUUCAGUUUGAGGGUUACAAAAGAAAGUUAUAUAUUUAUAUAUUCUCAUGUGGUAUUGGAUGGGGUUAUUUUAACAAACGAAGUACAUUUUGCCUGAUAAUUAUUUUUAUCCUACUGUAACGUUACUGUAUAUAGAGCUAAAACCUCCAAAGUUUUAGGAGUAGUUAGUCGCUGUAAGAAGUGUUUGUGAACUAAAAAUCAAGAAUGUGGGAUACUGUUUGUCCAUUCUGUCGGGGACACCCACCCCGGCAUGACACAUGGCUAAACAGUUUUGUGGUUAAAAAAACCAAAAACAUUCAUGUUUGUGUUAAGUUUUGUAUAGAAAUGACACAAAAUUCAGGCUCAGGUUAAAUGUGAUGGAAACAGCGUACACUGACAUCCAUCUUGUUAAAAGAGGAGUGUCAUGAAGCCGUGUUUGCAUUUAUUUGCACUGCUGUCCACUCUGGAUGUCUAUUUAUGUUGAGCUGUAAAUGUGAAAAGGUCCAUUCUACAGCCCCAUCUUUUUUUAAGUUGUUGAAUAUAAAAGGUUUUUUAUGUUCUGAUAUUGCACUUUUUUUUCAGAACCAAGGAGUUUUUGAAAUCUGCAUAAAUUUGCAUUUUACAUUACUCUUCAAUAUUUCUUUAAAUACUUAGAUUUAAAAUUAUGCUAAUAGUUUAAAUAAAAAGAUCAGUACUGCUUAACCUCAAAAUGUUUUGGGUUUAGUGUAUUUUUUUGCAUACAAGUAUAAUAGAUGUGUUUUGAUUUGCUUUUAUUUUAGUAUGAACUUGUACAAAAUGCACCAAGAGUAUGGGCUCAAAAUGUGGUCAUAAAUAUUUUGUACCUGUAAAUCAGUUUUGUACUUGUAAAUCAGGAUUUGUAUGUGUAUGCGCCCCUCCGACAGCCAAACCCAUCUGUUCUCUGAUUGGAUUGUUACAUUUGUGAUUGACAUGACAUUGACCAAUCAGAUGAAAGGAAGAAAAAUAGGGUCAAAAUUCGUACUUGUAACUUGCAGAGAGUCACACGUUUUUUUUUUUUGGCUAAGUCCACACACAAAUCUUUUUUAUGCACACACAAAUUCUUUUCACACAUACAAAUCCUGAUUUACAAGUACAAAACUGAUUUACAAGUACAAAAUAUUUAUGACCACAUUUUGAGCCCAUACAAGACAUUAAAAAACUGUUUUAUUGAUUAUAAAAUAAACUAUAUUGGAUUCAUAUCAGUAUCGGCAGAUAUCCAAAUUUAUGAUAUCGGUAUCAGACAAAGGGUUAUCGUGCCAUCUCUAGUUGUGAUGUCAGUUUCUUGAUCAUUAAUAUGCAAAUUGUCAUAACUGUGAUCGACAAUAGGAAACCAACAACCAACAACCUCUGGCUAAGUGUAUGGCACAACACAGGAGAACUAACUCGACAUGCCAGGACUCCGCAAUCUAUUCACAAGUACAGGCAGGGCUGGACUCGGACAAAAAAUCGGCCCGUGCAUUUUGACUGGAGACCGGCUCACCAGGUAUUAGAGGAAAAUCCAUAAAGCCUUUGAAUAAAAACAGACAAUGUUGAGACAGUGAUGUACACUGUCUUGUUGGUAUAUAUGUAUCAAUAUAAUAAAUUUAAACCUACACCAUCCUCCCUAUUCUGAUAUUCUAAAUAGUAUUUAGUGGAAAUAUUAAACAACCUAAUCAAUAAUUACAUACACAUAGCAUCUUACAGUGCUGUGAUUGCAGCCCUUCCCCAACUCUCUGUCAAUGGUACUCAUGGCCAUUGAUCAGUGGGUUUUGAUCAGUGGCUGUUGAUCAAUGAUCAUGAGAAUUUGCAUAACUAUAUUGGACUGAUCACAGCCAGAGAAACAGCAAUUUAGAAACAACAAUAUUGCAGAAAUGGAAACAGAGCAACUAUGGACGAAAGUUUCGGCCUGUCUCAGCAAUGCAAAGCCCCCAGCAUCCAACAUCACCAUGGAGGAGAGGAAGGCACUCGCAUCACUUAGUGAUGACAACAACAUUAUCAUCCUUCCGGCAGACAAGGGUAGGUGCACAGUUUUGCUAAACCAGAAAGACUACCAUGAGAAAAUUUUGUCACUACUCUGUAACGAAAAUACUUAUGAGCCCCUGAAACGAGACCCAGGAUGAGGUUACAGGAAGAAGGUGAUAGACUGUCUGAAGCAGUUAGAACAAGAUAAGGCUAUUGACCGGACCUUGUACCACAGGCUGUACCCAGGGGAAUCUACAUCAAGUCUGUAUGGUUUACCAAAGAUGCACAAACAAGGUGCA
ensembl:lncRNA